GACGAACGCUGGCGGCGUGCUUAACACAUGCAAGUCGAACGGAAAGGCCCUGCUUUUGUGGGGUGCUCGAGUGGCGAACGGGUGAGUAACACGUGAGUAACCUGCCCUUGACUUUGGGAUAACUUCAGGAAACUGGGGCUAAUACCGGAUAGGAGCUCCUGCUGCAUGGUGGGGGUUGGAAAGUUUCGGCGGUUGGGGAUGGACUCGCGGCUUAUCAGCUUGUUGGUGGGGUAGUGGCUUACCAAGGUUUUGACGGGUAGCCGGCCUGAGAGGGUGACCGGCCACAUUGGGACUGAGAUACGGCCCAGACUCCUACGGGAGGCAGCAGGGGAGAAUAUUGCACAAUGAGCGGAAGCCUGAUGCAGCAACGCCGCGUGCGGGAUGACGGCCUACGAGUGGUAAACCGCUUUCGCCUGAAACAAAGCGUGAGUGACGGUAAUUGGUAAAGAAGCACCGGCUAACUACGUG
rnacentral:rRNA from 1 species